GAUAAACGCUGGCGGCGUGCCUAAUACAUGCAAGUCGAGCGAACGGACGAGAAGCUUGCUUCUCUGAUGUUAGCGGCGGACGGGUGAGUAACACGUGGAUAACCUACCUAUAAGACUGGGAUAACUUCGGGAAACCGGAGCUAAUACCGGAUAAUAUUUUGAACCGCAUGGUUCAAAAGUGAAAGACGGUCUUGCUGUCACUUAUAGAUGGAUCCGCGCUGCAUUAGCUAGUUGGUAAGGUAACGGCUUACCAAGGCAACGAUGCAUAGCCGACCUGAGAGGGUGAUCGGCCACACUGGAACUGAGACACGGUCCAGACUCCUACGGGAGGCAGCAGUAGGGAAUCUUCCGCAAUGGGCGAAAGCCUGACGGAGCAACGCCGCGUGAGUGAUGAAGGUCUUCGGAUCGUAAAACUCUGUUAUUAGGGAAGAACAUAUGUGUAAGUAACUGUGCACAUCUUGACGGUACCCUAUCAGAAAGCCACGGCUAACUACGUGCCAGCAGCCGCGGUAAUACGUAGGUGGCAAGCGUUAUCCGGAAUUAUUGGGCGUNAAGCGCGCGUAGGCGGUUUUUUAAGUCUGAUGUGAAAGCCCACGGCUCAACCGUGGAGGGUCAUUGGAAACUGGAAAACUUGAGUGCAGAAGAGGAAAGUGGAAUUCCAUGUGUAGCGGUGAAAUGCGCAGAGAUAUGGAGGAACACCAGUGGCGAAGGCGACUUUCUGGUCUGUAACUGACGCUGAUGUGCGAAAGCGUGGGGAUCAAACAGGAUUAGAUACCCUGGUAGUCCACGCCGUAAACGAUGAGUGCUAAGUGUUAGGGGGUUUCCGCCCCUUAGUGCUGCAGCUAACGCAUUAAGCACUCCGCCUGGGGAGUACGACCGCAAGGUUGAAACUCAAAGGAAUUGACGGGGACCCGCACAAGCGGUGGAGCAUGUGGUUUAAUUCGAAGCAACGCGAAGAACCUUACCAAAUCUUGACAUCCUUUGACAACUCUAGAGAUAGAGCCUUCCCCUUCGGGGGACAAAGUGACAGGUGGUGCAUGGUUGUCGUCAGCUCGUGUCGUGAGAUGUUGGGUUAAGUCCCGCAACGAGCGCAACCCUUAAGCUUAGUUGCCAUCAUUAAGUUGGGCACUCUAAGUUGACUGCCGGUGACAAACCGGAGGAAGGUGGGGAUGACGUCAAAUCAUCAUGCCCCUUAUGAUUUGGGCUACACACGUGCUACAAUGGACAAUACAAAGGGCAGCGAAACCGCGAGGUCAAGCAAAUCCCAUAAAGUUGUUCUCAGUUCGGAUUGUAGUCUGCAACUCGACUACAUGAAGCUGGAAUCGCUAGUAAUCGUAGAUCAGCAUGCUACGGUGAAUACGUUCCCGGGUCU
rnacentral:rRNA from 1 species